GUAGAGCAGAGGACUG
rnacentral:tRNA from 3 species